ACCCGCUUAACUCGGUGGUUAGAGUUUCGCUUUCAUACGGCGAGAGUCCUUGGUUCAAAUCUAAUAGUAGAUA
rnacentral:tRNA from 1 species